GGGGAAUAUUGGACAAUGGGCGCAAGACUGAUCCAGCCAUGCCGCGUGCAGGAUGAAUGCCCUAUGGGUUGUAAACUGCUUUUGUACGGGAAUAAACCCCUCUACGUGUAGAGGGCUGAAUGUACCGUAAGAAUAAGGGUCGGCUAACUUCGUGCCAGCAGCCGCGGUAAGACGAAGGACCCAAGCGUUAUCCGGAUUCAUUGGGUUUAAAGGGUGCGUAGGCGGGUUGAUAAGUCAGUGGUGAAAGCCCAACGCUUAACGUUGGAACUGCCAUUGAUACUGUCGAUCUUGAAUGUGUUUGAUGUGGGCGGAAUAUGACAUGUAGCGGUGAAAUGCUUAGAUAUGUCAUAGAACACCGAUUGCGAAGGCAGCUCACAAAGCCACUAUUGACGCUGAGGCACGAAAGCGUGGGGAUCAAA
rnacentral:rRNA from 1 species